rnacentral:misc_RNA from 1 species
CAUCCGUAAGGGGGACUGACUUGGCUCCUCAGCCUGGCAUCCAUAUGGGUGACUGACUUGGCUCCUCAGCCACAACACCGAUGACCUCGUUCCGUCGCUCUCAAUAACAAGACAAUCGCCGUCGUCUCCAGUCCUCAAGUGGCCUCAGUAUUGCCUCUAGGAUGUGUGUGUGUGUGUGAUGGCUGAUGGAGAACAAGCUCAUGAAGCACUAAAUGACACCCGAGGCCGUAGGCAGCACCAGCAGCCUCUACGCUCUGUCACCUCCACGGAACGGAGUUACGCUCGUUUUAUAAACCGCACCCAGCGAAAUGUUGACGUCUUGUGGGUAGAUUUUCAAGGAAACCACCGUAGAUACAAAGUACUAGCCCCAGGGGAAAUUUAUAAGAUCAACACGUUCGUUACACACCCGUGGGUGUUCCGUGACUCCGAGACAACUGCCGCCCUUGUGGUCAACUCGGAGGAGGUCUUUUACCCCAAGCCUGCAUUACGAGAAGGGCAACAGCUGGUCGGCCAAGCAAGUCCGCUCCACAUCCCCGUCUACAUUUGCAUCCCUCUGUACAGCCUGAAGGACAGAGCAGCACAGGUUGUGCGAUCGUGUCUGCAGUCCCCAGAGGCUGCGUACACUCUUGAUAUCCCCCGAGUCCUCAUGCACACAAUAGCAAAGUGGGGAACUUGAAGACUUUAUUUUGGUGUCAAGAGCAUUUUCCCAUUACUGUACUAUACAUUGUGAACAAUACAAAGGCAAAAAUGACUGGAAAAGGAGGACUUGAGAAUGUUAACCCACAGGUUUUUGCCAAGGCCAGUCAGAGAGUGGAGAGUUCAACAGACUGGGACGACGAUGUUUAUGACCCCUUUGAUGCCAGGGA